AGUGAACGCUGGCGGUAGGCCUAACACAUGCAAGUCGAACGGCAGCACAGUAAGAGCUUGCUCUUACGGGUGGCGAGUGGCGGACGGGUGAGGAAUACAUCGGAAUCUACUUUUUCGUGGGGGAUAACGUAGGGAAACUUAGGCUAAUACCGCAAACGACCUCCGGGGGAAAGAAGGGGAUCUUCGAACCUUGCGCGAUGAAAGGAGCCGAUGUCGGAUUAGCUAGUUGGCGGGGUAAAGGCCCACCAAGGCGACGAUCCGUAGCUGGUCUGAGAGGAUGAUCAGCCACACUGGAACUGAGACACGGUCCAGACUCCUACGGGAGGCAGCAGUGGGGAAUAUUGGACAAUGGGCGCAAGCCUGAUCCAGCCAUACCGCGUGGGUGAAGAAGGCCUUCGGGUUGUAAAGCCCUUUUGUUGGGAAAGAAAAGCAGCAGGUUAAUACCCCGCUGUUCUGACGGUACCCAAAGAAUAAGCACCGGCUAACUUCGUG
rnacentral:rRNA from 1 species